GAACUGCGAUAAGUAAUGUGAAUUGCAGAAUUCAGUGAAUCAUCGAGUCUUUGAACGCAGAUUGCGCCCCCUGGCAUUCCGGGGGGCAUGCCUGUCCGAGCGUCAUUGCUGCCCUUCAAGCCCGGCUUGUGUGUUGGGUCGUCGUCCCCUCCGGGGGACGGGCCCGAAAGGCAGCGGCGGCACCGCGUCCGGUCCUCGAGCGUAUGGGGCUUUGUCACCCGCUCGAUAAGGACCGGCCGGGCGCCAGCCGGCGUCUCCAACCUUUUUUUCUCAGGUUGACCUCGGAUCAGGUAGGGAUACCCGCUGAACUUAAG
rnacentral:misc_RNA from 1 species